UACGGAGGGUGCGAGCGUUGUCCGGAAUCACUGGGCGUAAAGGGCGCGUAGGCGGCCUGAUAAGUAGGGGGUGAAAUCUUGCGGCUUAACCGCAAGGCUGCCUUCUAAACUGUCGGGCUAGAGCACAGUAGAGGCAGGUGGAAUUCCCGGUGUAGCGGUGGAAUGCGUAGAGAUCGGGAAGAACAUCAGUGGCGAAGGCGGUUGCCUGGAGCUUUGCUGACGCUGAUGCGCGAAAGCGUGGGGAGCGAUCCGG
rnacentral:rRNA from 1 species